rnacentral:misc_RNA from 1 species
GAUGAAGAACGUAGCGAAAUGCGAUAAGUAAUGUGAAUUGCAGAAUUCAGUGAAUCAUCGAAUCUUUGAACGCACAUUGCGCCCCCUGGUAUUCCGGGGGGCAUGCCUGUUCGAGCGUCAUUUCACCACUCAAGCCUCGCUUGGUAUUGGGCAACGCGGUCCGCCGCGUGCCUCAAAUCGACCGGCUGGGUCUUCUGUCCCCUAAGCGUUGUGGAAACUAUUCGCUAAAGGGUGUUCGGGAGGCUACGCCGUAAAACAACCCCAUUUCUAAGGUUGACCUCGGAUCAGGUAGGGAUACCCGCUGUACUUAAGCAUAUCAAUAAGCGGAGGA